GGGGGUCUGUGUCAUUUCUUCACUUUAAGCUGUAUCUCUUUUCUCCUUUUCAUCUUGGUUACUUCCUCAUGUAUCCGCGUUCUUUUUUCACCAGAGCAACCAGAAGGGGGUUGUACCAAGAUGGGUUUAUUUUGAGCUCAAUCCCAACUUUUAACAAGGAACAUUCUUUUUCUAAUUAUAUAUGAAACAUUUUUCUCUGAAGAUUCUUAAAAAUUAAAUGUGGAUAAGUGGAGCAUGGGAAGCUUAUUGCUAACUUAGAGAAAGGAAACAUAGUGAAGUAUAAAGAAUUAAUUCCUAACUUAAUCAUUGGAAUUCUUUUGCAGCAUUUGACAAAACUAACAUUGAAUAAAACUCAUUGCAAUAUAUGACCCUCUUGGACAUUUAUGGAUAGAAGAUUAGAAGCUACCGACUCUAGCUAUAAUCCUAAUAAAUAUGAAAAUGUAGAAUUGAAAGGCUACAUAAUGUAGCUUCUCAGGCUAUCUGUAAUCCAUAGUAAGAAGACAAGGGGAGCAGGCCUUUAUCUUCCUCUGUGUCCUACAAAGUAAUAUGUGGGUGGCUAGCAAAUACUUGUUGGAUUACCAGGGGUUGUCUUUACUGUAGAGGCAAAGGAUUAAGACCUAGGGAAAGAGGCUUAUUUUCUCUGGGACGCAUAUUUCCUGUUACAUUAUUAAGACUUUGAGAAUUUAUGUAAAAUGUUUUCUCUCUGUCCAGUCUUUAAAAAUAUAUAGCUGCCUCUGGUGAUGUUCAUGUCUCAAUUUUGUUGAAUUAGGUCUUGGGUAUGAAAACUUCCUUGGGCUAGUGAGACCAGGAUAUCUGAUGCCAUUUAAAACUUGCUUUGUGUCUGACAGUUGUAGUUUUAAGACUAGAAGGAUAAAGCACAGAGCCAAAAAGCUAUUAGAGUUUGCUUUACUAAGAGUUUUGGUAGCUCUGCUUGAGGUAGUUUUUUAUUGAUGUAGAAAAACCUGGCCACUGAUAAACAGCCUUUAUUUCUGUUGUGUUCUUUAUUAUCCGUUGGCAUUGAGCUAUGUACAAACCUUACUUUUCUCUCCUCUCCCUGGAUUGGUCCAUUCGUCUUAUCUCAUUCAGUGUUUACUCUGCAUCUUCCAUAUGCCAGGCAUUGUUGUGGAUGUCAGGUUUAGAUUAGAGCAUGAAACAUAUGGACCCUUUCUCAUAAAGAUUGUAAUCCAUGAGAAUUCUAUGCAGCUGAGGUCUGUGAUUAUUUAAAAACAUUUCUCUGCCCUUAACUAAAACGAGGUGUUAAAAAGAAUAAUCUGUAAAGUCCCCGUAUUGCUUAUUUCUUGACACUGACUUAUUAAUGCUUUUGAAGCCUCUUGGUAUCUCUUAAUACUAACUUUAGGAAUUCUGUGGAUUUUGUCAAGACCUGCCCAUUUAUUUCCCGAUCCUUUAGAGCCUGAGGUGUUUUUCUCCUGGUGGUGGUUAUAGAUGAGGCUCAACCACUCUUCUGUCUCAAUGAGACUUUUUAGUGAAGAUGUUUGUGAAAUAGCUGUAAUAAGCCUUGCUGUGACAUACUAACUGACAGCUCAGAGCUGUGACCUCACUUGGCCAGUUGUUCUUUUCUUGCUAAAUUAUUCUAGAUCAUUACUUUUCAUUUUGUCUAUCUUUAUUUUUUGCUUUUUACAGCUACACCUGUGGCAUAUGGACAUACCCGAGCCAGGGGUUGAAUCAGAGCUGCAGCUGCAGCCUACACCCACAGCCAUGGCAACACCAGAUCCGAGCCACAUCUGCAAUCUAUGCCAUUGCUUGCAAUAACACCAGAUCCCUAACCCACUGAGCAAGGUCAGGGAUCGAACCUGCAUCCUCACAUAGACAACGCUGGGUCCUUAAUCAGCUGAGCCACAACGGGAACUCCAAUUUGUGUAUCUUGUCUGAAUUAUAGGAUAGUAAAAUUCAUCUUGCUCUUUUCGUAGAGUUAUAAGUACUUGGACCUAGCUUUAUCGAUCUGAGCAAGGAUGUAAGAAUCACCUGAUGUAUACAUGUAAGGAUAACUUGAUUCCCUUGCUGUACAGUGGGAAAAAGAAAAAAAAAAAAUUACCUGGGAAGCUUAUUAAAAAUGCGGACUCCCUUGCAUUUCCAAAAAUUGCUUCAAAGCAUGAGACACAGGAAUCCAAAAUCUUGUUAAGUAACCUAGGUUACCGUGAUGGCUGUGGUCAGUUAAUUGCAACUUGAGACACUGAUCUAAGACUUUCGUUUAAGAUUUCAGCCUCAAACCAGUCAUCAGGGAUGACUGGCUUCAGCUCCACUGGCAGUAAUACUGGUUUUAUGAUGGGUGUGGUGAUAAGCACAGUAGAGUUCAUAGAGGAAACAAUGUUUAUCUCAAAGGAAUGCAUUUCUUACUAUGGAAUUUGAGAUAAUAGUGACCGUCUGAGAAUGUAGCAUGUACAUAGGAGGAGCUUCUUUUGCAAAUCAUGUCAUGUAGAUAAGGCUCAGGACUUCCCGUUAUGGCUUAGUGGAAAGGAAUCUGACUAGUAACCAUGAGGAUGCAGGUUCGAUCCCUGGCCUCACUCAGUGGGUUAAGGAUCCGACGCUGCCAUGAGCUGUGGUGUAGGUCACGGAAGCAGCCCAGAUCUGGCAUUGCUGUGACUGUGUAGGCCGGCAGCUACAGCUCCAAUUCAUCCACUAGCCUGGGAACCUCUAUAUGCUGUGGGUGCAGCCCUAGAAAAAAAGAUAAGACCCAAGCUAAUGAGGCGAACUAGCUUUUGGUAUGGGGCCCUCUAGGACAUAGAGAAUUCCCUAAACCUGAUGGCUUUGAAGCGUUACUUCUGGCUACAAAGGGUACCUCAAUUGGGAAACAAGUGGUCCUAUUGGCUAAAGCCAAGGAGGGAUGUCUGAAAACUGAAAUCACUCCUGAGAGACAGCCUAUCUCAAGAAAGCACACAAAUACAAAAACAAACAUUGUAGAAAUGAAUUUUUUUUUUCUUAUAACCUUGUGACCUUUUGACUUUCCCAUUGCCUGUGUCACUUAAAGCAUUAGUUCCUCAACUGAUCCAGCCAGAAUUCAAGGGCAGACAUGGAGAGGAAGCUGAAGGAAGAGAGGUAGGGAAAGCAUCAAUAAAAAUAAUCACUUUGGCCUGUCUGCAUUAUUAUAUUCUGACUUAUUAUUUUUUAAUGUAGUAGGAAAUGACCAGUGCCAGCUAUACAAGAAUGAAUUGAGUCAAGAGCUUUAUAGUUGUUAGUGUAACUGUAGGAGCCAUAAGUAUUAUUGUAAGCGUGUAGCAACUAGCUAUUUUGUUUUAUUUUUAGCUGAGGAAAAAGUGCUAUGUUCACCAUAUGCAUUUCUGUCUUCAGUGUUGAAAAGGACAGGUUCUUCCACUUGUAUUGAGGAUAUAGAAAGGAUUAUGAUCUAUCUUUCCCCAGUAUCUAAUGGCCAAAUAGUCUGAAAGACAUGAGGCUUUUGUGUGUGAGGAAAAGGAAAAAAUGUCAGAUACCCAUGGCAAUAUUUCAGGCAUUCACUCUGCUCUUGUCUUCAAUCCUUUUUCCUUCCAUCUUUUUUUUUUUUUUUGCCUUGCCUGCAGCAUGCGGUAAUCCUGGGGUCAGGGAUUGAACUUGCACCGCAGCAGUGACCCAAGCCUCAGCAGUGACUCUGCAGAGCCACCAGGGAACUUCUUUUAUGCUGUCUUUAUAAGGCAAAAUUAGCAAUGGUGUUUUGCAAACUUUGGACUCUGGGCCUCUACAACCCAUUCUGUUGUCAGGAACAAGAGUAUGAGGAGUGUAGUAUGUAUAGCUGGAAUUAAUUCCAGCUUCUGUUUUUGGCAUUGUGGUGGAUUAGAUACUCUGAAUGGUACUUUCAGCAGAAACAAGAUCCUUGGUAAAAUGUAUUUAUUAAAAAAAUAGUAAUUCUGUCGUGGCUCAGUGGUAACGAACCCACCUAGGACCCGUGAGGAUUCAGGGUCAAUCUUGACCUCGCUCAGUAGGUUAAGGAUCCGACAUUGCCGUGAGCCGUGGUGUAGGUCACAGACAUGGCUCGGAUCCCGCAUUUCUAUGGCUGUGGCGUAGGUCAGCAGCUGCAGCUCUGAUUUGACCCCUAGCCUUAGAACUUACAAUUGCCAUGGUGUGGCCCUAAAAAGACCAAAAAAACCCCAAAACCAAACAAAACAUUAUAAGCACAUUACUGAACAAGCACAAAAGUAAGGAAAGAAUCCAUAGAUAUUCAAAAUGAAGUGAAAAUUAGAAUCCUACGAAAUAGGCAACUGCCAGAGCUAGCUUUUACUCAGUUUUUGCCAAACUCAGCAGGCUUUCAGCAUUUAGUUUAAUGACUGCUGGGUAUGGGAAAGGAACUGAAGGAUCUAGAAGGUGACUCUAAGUAAAGCUGGGAUCCCCUCAGUGUAAAGUUGAACAAGAAAUAAACUUGUUCUCUUGCGGCACCAUGGGUUAAGGAUCCAGCAAAAUCAUUGCAGUGGCCUGGGUUACUGCUGUGGUGAGGGUUUAGUCCCUGGCCCAGGAACUUGCAUAUGUGAAGGGUGUAC
rnacentral:lncRNA from 1 species